rnacentral:lncRNA from 1 species
CCUGCCCAUCUCCUCCUCUCUCAAUUUUUGCAGCCACCAAACCCUAGCCGCCCCCCCCCCCUCAAUCCCCUCCUCCCAAGGUGCCAAUCCUUGCCGCUCGGAUCGUCGUCUCGUGGUGCGAUUCUCCAACCGUUUUGGUGGAGGGAAGAAGGGAGGAAGGAAAGGGGGAGAACCCAAGGUGAUUUUUGUGUUCAUCCCUUGUUCAUUUGCGCUGCGAUUCAAUUGAUUAGAUGUUGCGUUUGCGAUUAGAUAGAGGGGGGCUGUCCAGAACUUUACGUGGUGGAUGAACAGCGGAAGUUCUAGCAGUUUUUAGGGUUUUUUCGUGAAGAAUUAAUGGGGAUCAAUUUGGGGAUCUUGUAUAACUUUGUUUUACCUUUCCAACGAGUAUUUAUGCGCUCAAUUUGGAGUUAUAAAUUAAAAGUUAUCAUCGUUUGAAUCCGGGUGUGUGGCUGUCCAAAAAAAAACAGAUUAUUCAGAGUGAUGAACAGCAGCAGUAUUAGCAGUUUCUGGGGAUUUUUCGGGAGUAAUUAGUGUUAAUUAGUAUGAGAAUCAUGUAGGGCUUUUUCUUAUCUUUCCAACAAGUACUUAUGCGCUCAAAUCGGAAUUAUAUUUUAAAAGUUAUCGCUGUUUGAAUCCGAGUAUGUCGCUGCCCAAAUCAGAAAAAAAAACAGAUUGCAGGGUUUAUUUUGUGGACCGUUUAGAGGUAAUUAGAUGUUAGAACUUAAUCAUGAGUUGUAUACAAAACUUGUGGGGAAUUUUAUGUAGUUGUCUCUGAAGUUUUUGUUUGACACCACUGCUGUCCUAAUUUUUAAGUUAUGGAAUUGUUAAGCAGCGCCGCUGCAGUUUGGUUAGUGAGGGGAGAAUUGUUACCGCGGCGGGGUUUGAGAUUGCGCGUAGGUGCGGUGUUGUCUUUGAGUUUUUUUAUGUGAAUUUGGUGCACUAAGUUGGGUGUCAAAAACAGGUGGUGGACUUCCAGAUCGUUCUUAG